GGUAUGUAUUUUUGUUGUUUUAUUUCUGUAUUUUUUGGUAAUUAAUUGAUUUUUCUUUUUAUUUCAGGUUUCUCAGCUGAGUAAAUGGCCGCCUAUACUCGCAUCCAGCGGGCUUUCCUUGGACCAGGAGGAAGCGACUGGGCUUGGAGUGGAUGUAGGCGAGAAAAUAUUGCUGAGGGCGUGGCAUUUUGGGCGCCCCCCGUGUCAAACAUCAGACCACGGUCAAGCGGCUGCUGGUCCGGCCGCCUGUAGGUGAGUGUGUGUAUUUGCUGUUUUAUGUGUUUGUUUAUUAUUUAAGCGUGGAAUUGUUGUUUUCUUUAUUUUCAGGUUUCUCUGUGUGCCUAUGCCGUCGAUGAAUGUUGGCAGAGUCCUCAGCUAUUACUCUCUCCAUGGACCAAGGGAGGGCUAUCGAUUGGAGUGGAUGAUCGGCGUAGAGAUUUGUGGGAGGCGUAGCAUAUUACUUGUUGUCUGUUGUUUUGGC
rnacentral:lncRNA from 1 species